rnacentral:lncRNA from 1 species
AUAAAAUAAUUUUAAAUUUUAAUAAAAUAUUAUUGAUCGGUAUAAUAUUACUUCAAAAUUACACUAUGGUAUAUAUUUUAAAGAAACUCACAUUCAUGAUAAUAUAUAAUGUUUGAUGCCUUAUCACUAAACUAAUAAAACAAAUCAUGUUUUAUUUCUUUGUAAUGAAACUCAUAACUUAUUCUUCAAACUAGAAGAAAAACAUAAAGUUCCAACUUUAUCUAUUAUUNNN